GACAAAAACCAGUAGACAGAUAAAAGGAAAACACCUACAGGCUGGAAUCUGUGUUGUGAGGACAUAAGCUUGGGUCUGGAUUAGAGAGGACCGGACAAGAGAAAGCUGCUUUCGAUGGCAUGGUCAGGCCAGACUUCUGUGUGGAAAGAACAGAAGACAAGACUGAAGAGCAGAGAGGGUGUACGAGGUGAUUGGUGAUCAACAGCAGUGGGGGCCGAGGCUGGGCUAUGCCCGCGGCGCCCCGAGAGGCUGUGGAAGAGUUUAACAAGGAGUGUCUGUGUGUGUGUCUGUGUCUGGGGGGGGAGGGAGGCCAGAUGAUUCACUUGAUUGCUGUAUUGUUUACUGCUUUACGGAGAAAAGACUGCGAAAAGAAGGAUUUGAUAAAAUAAGUUGUGAUAUAUCCCGAUGAUGGAGUUCCAAGAAGCCAUUGCAAAUGAGGGCUCCUUUAUCUGCGGACUGGAACAGCAUGGGACGUGGACACCAAGUUCAAAAAUCCUUGUCGUCCCUGGGCUGAAGUCUGCGUACACGAGAGGAAUUCACAAUUAGAUCAGAAGUGGCCUGUGACCGCUUACUGAUGACCUCGACCUGCGGCAGGCAGACGGCAAGGGAUCGACUCUGUGUACAUGCUCCAUUUAAUGUUUUUUUCUAAUACAACAGAAAAGUCCAUGAAACAAAAGAAAGCAACCCAAAAAACCAGGCUGUGUGAUUGUCUUUCAUUAGUUCUUGUUGUAUGAAAUAUUUUCUUAUGUGGGUGAAAACAGAGGCAAAUGACUUUGAUGUUGUUUUAAAAUAGACUUUUAUAUAAACAAUGUUGAGUCUUAAAGAUACUUAUUUUUA